AGAUGUUAAAAGUUUUUGAUCAGCUUAUAUUUGAACUCGAUCUCUGAUCGGUCUCAUGAUGUUAAAAAUCUUUGAUCGGCUUAUAUUUGAACUCGAUCUUUGAUUGGCCUUGAGAUGUUAAAAGCCUUUGAUCGGCAUAUAUUUAGACUCGACCUUUGAUCAGCCAUGAGAUAUUAAAAGUCUUUAAUCAGCUUAUAUUUAAACCUGUUCUUUGGAUGGCUUACAAAUUCUAAAAGCCUGAGAUCGGGUAUAACUAUCCC
rnacentral:lncRNA from 1 species